rnacentral:rRNA from 1 species
AGAGUUUGAUCAUGGCUCAGCCUGAACGCUGGCGGCGUGGCUAAGACAUGCAAGUCGCACGGGCGUAGCAAUACGUCAGUGGCGAACGGGUGAGUAAUGAAUCGCUAAUGUGCCCCGGACUCUGGGAUAGCUGACCGAAAGGUCAGGUAAUACCAGAUGAUACAACUUUGUCGCAUGGCAGAGUUUUCAAAGGUCCGCCGGUCUGGGAGCAGGCGAUUUCGUAUCAGCUAGUUGGUGAGGUAACGGCUCACCAAGACGACGACGCGUAGCCGGACUGAGAGGUUGGCCGGCCACAUCGGGACUGAGACACUGCCCGGACUCCUACGGGGGGCUGCAGUAACGAAUCUUCCGCAAUGCACGAAAGUGUGACGGAGCGACGCCGCGUGUAGGACGAAGUCCUUCGGGAUGUAAACUACUGUCAGGGGUAACCAAGUUCUGAGGUGCCCCAGAGGAAGAGGCGGCUAACUCUGUGCCAGCAGCCGCGGUAAUACAGAGGCCUCGAGCGUUAGGCGGAAUCACUGGGCUUAAAGCGUGUGUAGGCGGAUGUCUAAGUGCUUUGUGAAAUCCCACGGCUCAACCGUGGAACUGCUUGGCAUACUGGAUGUCUUGAGCGGUCUAGGGGCGAGCGGAACAGAUGGUGGAGCGGUGAAAUGCGUAGAUAUCAUCUGGAACGCCUAUGGUGAAAACAGCUCGCUGGGGACCUGCUGACGCUGAGACACGAAAGCCAGGGGAGCGAACGGGAUUAGAUACCCCCGUAGUCC